UUUUUCUCCUUUCCUCCUUCGUAGGGUCAGUAUAGACCCUCUGACUUGCUGUGUCCAGAGACGUACGUUUGGACCCCUAUUGAGCAAUGUCUCCCACUGCUCGAGCUGUCCAAAUACUCUCGUUUCAACCAGGAUGCAAAAGCAGUUGAUGAAGAUGGUAUUAAGGAACUGGGCAGAGUUAGAGUACUUCACAAGAGAACCAUAAUGCCUUACAGUGUGUAUAAGAAGAGGAGGAAGGGGCCGAGCGAUGAAGCCAGCGUUCAGCAAUAUGCAAGUCUGGUUGGACAGACAUGUUCAGAAAGAAUGUUGCUGUUCAGAAGUUGAGAAACCAUCGAAUGACAUUUUGAUGGCACAGCCAUCAUUGAUUGCACUGCCACUGGAUGAUGUAAUGUAGUUGUGUGUUGGUAUGCCUACUAAAGUAACAGUAUGAAGUACAGGUAUAUAACUAGGAUUGUGUGAAUACAUGGAACUGUGUUUAAAGACAACCCCAAUGAAACUUUUGACAAUACAGCAAGGCUUUAGCAAUAUAAGCUUAGAAAAACGUGCUUGCAGUACAUUUUAAUUAAAUAGCUCUUGCCUUUCUUUGCAUUUUGAAUAAUCUUAAGCAUCUAAGCAAAAUGGAAAACAGGCAUUUUUUCUGCAGACAAAGGUUGGCUAAAUCUCUAUUAAUGAUAAUUAAAUCACAAGUGUUUUCAAAUAGCAGCUUGGCUAUCUGUUAUAUAAAAUUGCCAUUAAAUUUGUACUCACAUUUAUGUGUUCCUAAACUAUUGCAAGAGAAUUGAGAUUUCCUUACUUUCGAAUUGGAAACCUGGCAUGAUUUAAUUAUAUUUCAACACUGUAUUUAAAAACAGGACGAAAUUAUUUUCACUGCACAUUCUUCAGUUGUUUAAUAUAGCAAGUUAGCAUCAGAGCAUCUACUGAGUAUGGAAUCAUAGUCGAUUCUCAGUGGCAGGAGAUGCAGCGCUUUGGAAAACCUUCCCUUUCAGAGACAGAACAGAGUAGUUGCACUAUAAAUUUACCAAAGAGAUGCAACCAAGUGUCACGGAGUUCUGUGAGGUUUUAUGUUGUUGGUUAUUUGUUUUAAGCCUUAUCCUUUAUCUAAAAAGAGUGGAUAUUUUAAUGCACGUCACUGAUGUGAAAUAGAGUUUGGGAUAUUCAGCUUACAGCUCUUCAGUGCACAUUUCAGAACUAUGCUAAAAACAUAUGAGGUACCACUGCUGGUGGUCGUUGCAAUUUUUUCAGCAGAGUUGUAUGGGGAGACUUGCAUAUCCUAUUCCUUGAUUUUUGUGACUGUUCUGCUUAUGCCACAGUGGCCCAUGGUUUAUUAACAUCUUCAAUUUUCUCUUGGAAACAGAAAGAUGUGAUGUGUUAUCAAAAGCACUUUAUUACUGCUAUACUAAUGCUUUCAUUAGUAAACUGCACCCGUAUCAAGUCAUACAGGGGAAAUAAUAUGGUUUUAUGGUUUUAUAUUCAACAACAUUAUAACAAUCCCAGUGUUUGUAAUUUGCUUAUCUGGGGUGACAGGAGCUACUAUUUACCCUAUUUACCUUGAAUCAACCUGAAGUUUCCUGUUAACCUUUGAAGAAGGAGAAUCUUAUUCAAGAAUAUAUGUGUACAUGUUUCUUUUUCCCCAGAAGGAAAUCAAAUUCAACUUUAAUCUCUGAAGGUUAUGUCUUGUGUCAUUUGUGGGCUUGAUUUAAUUUUGAACCCUUGGCCAGUGUCAUUAAUCAUUGAUUUUUAUGUGAAACAGCCACAAGAAUGUAGAGAUUCAAGUGCGUUGGGGAUUUAUUUUUUCCCAUGUCAGUUUGGUCACUGCAGUAUUACAGGUGAUGAGUGCAGGUUCAUCGGUAACUUUAAAAUGUGUUAAUUGCUAUGUAUUGUAUCAAUCUACUGCCACUUUGCAGCAGAAUUGGUUGUUUCUGCCAGCCUUGUACCUGGAUGUACGUGUGUUAUCUGGAACAGCGAGGUUUGUGUGCUGUACAAUCUGUGUCUCCCACAUCUCUCCUAAGCCUACUGCUACGAGACCACUAACUGCUAUUUAUGGCCAUUAUAAGGAGUUGUUUACUGUGGGGAAAAUACCUCUUACCACUUGGUGAAAUGUUGGAACAGCAUAACGUUUUCUGCCUAUACUGUGUGUUGAAAUGUGGUGAUGCCCAUAGAGUUUAAAAAGAAAAUGGAAACCUGUUUGUUUGGUACAAAAUCAGUCAAAAGGCACAAAGAAAAUCCACUAUGACUUUCAAAAUGUUAAAGGUAAUAAAACUCACUUACUGAAGGACUUGC